rnacentral:pre_miRNA from 1 species
GUAGUAUUCCCUCCGUCCCGAAAUUCUUGUCUUACAUUAGUUUAGAUACGGAUGUAUCUAACACUAAAAUGUAACUAGAUACAUCCGUAUUUAGACAAAUUUAAGACAAGAAUUUUGGGACGGAGGGAGUACAAA